rnacentral:rRNA from 1 species
UACGUAGGGGGCAAGCGUUGUCCGGAUUUAUUGGGCGUAAAGAGCGUGUAGGCGGUUCGGUAGGUCCGUUGUGAAAACUCGAGGCUCAACCUCGAGACGCCGAUGGAAACCAUCGAACUAGAGUCCGGAAGAGGAGAGUGGAAUUCCUGGUGUAGCGGUGAAAUGCGCAGAUAUCAGGAGGAACACCGAUUGCGAAGGCAGCUCGCUGGGACGUUACUGACGCUGAGACGCGAAAGCGUGGGGAGCAAACAGG